UCAAAGCCCAUCUCGUUUUGAGUGGUGAACAUUUUGACACCGUUCCACUUGUGAAGCCAUAUGGCCUAAUGAUUAGCACUUGAGAUUUUGACAAAGAGAAUUCAGUCAGAUUUAAAACCUCAAAACUACUCCAAAGAAGGAGAGCAUUAAGUUUUCAGAAAGAA